rnacentral:rRNA from 1 species
UACAGAGGUCCCGAGCGUUAGGCGGAAUCACUGGGCUUAAAGCGUGUGUAGGCGGAUCGUUAAGUACCUUGUGAAAUCCCACGGCUUAACCGUGGAGCUGCUUGGUAUACUGGCGGUCUUGAGCCACUUAGGGGCUACCGGAACAAAUGGUGGAGCGGUGAAAUGCGUAGAUAUCAUUUGGAACGCCAAUGGUGAAAACAGGUAGCUGGGAGUGUGCUGACGCUGAGACACGAAAGCCAGGGGAGCAAACGGG